rnacentral:rRNA from 1 species
UACAGGGGGUGCAAACGUUGCUCGGAAUCAUUGGGCGUAAAGCGCACGUAGGCGGUCUGUUAUGUCGGAUGUGAAAGCCCUUGGCUCAACUGAGGAAGUGCAUCCGAAACUGGCAGGCUAGAGUACUAAAGAGGAUCGCGGAAUUCCCGGUGUAGAGGUGAAAUUCGUAGAUAUCGAGAGGAACAUCGGUGGCGAAGGCGGCCUUCUGGACGGUGACUGACGCUGAGAUGCGAAAGCGUGGGGAGCAAACAGG